UCUUAUGGACGAGCAAAGAAAGUGGUUUUUAAAGGUGGAGUCUACUCCUGGUGAAGAUGCUGUGAA
rnacentral:pre_miRNA from 1 species